rnacentral:rRNA from 1 species
GUGGGGAAUAUUGCACAAUGGGGGAAACCCUGAUGCAGCGACGCCGCGUGAGUGAAGAAGUAUUUCGGUACGUAAAGCUCUAUCAGCAAGGAAGAAAAUGACGGUACUUGACUAAGAAGCCCCGGCUAACUACGUGCCAGCAGCCGCGGUAAUACGUAGGGGGCAAGCGUUAUCCGGAUUUACUGGGUGUAAAGGGAGCGUAGACGGUAUGGUAAGUCAGAUGUGAAAGCCCGGGGCUCAACCCCGGGACUGCAUUUGAAACUAUCAGACUAGAGUGCAGGAGAGGUAAGUGGAAUUCCUAGUGUAGCGGUGAAAUGCGUAGAUAUUAGGAGGAACACCAGUGGCGAAGGCGGCUUACUGGACUGUAACUGACGUUGAGGCUCGAAAGCGUGGGGAGCAAACAGGAUUAGAUACCCUAGUAGUCC